AGUGAACGCUGGCGGUAGGCCUAACACAUGCAAGUCGAACGGCAGCACAGUAAGAGCUUGCUCUUACGGGUGGCGAGUGGCGGACGGGUGAGGAAUACAUCGGAAUCUACUUUUUCGUGGGGGAUAACGUAGGGAAACUUACGCUAAUACCGCAUACGACCUACGGGUGAAAGCAGGGGAUCUUCGGACCUUGCGCGAUUGAAUGAGCCGAUGUCGGAUUAGCUAGUUGGCGGGGUAAAGGCCCACCAAGGCGACGAUCCGUAGCUGGUCUGAGAGGAUGAUCAGCAACACUGGAACUGAGACAAGGUCCAGACUCCUACGGGAGGCAGCAGUGGGGAAUAUUGGACAAGGGGCGCAAGCCUGAUCCAGCCAUACCGCGUGGGUGAAGAAGGCCUUCGGGUUGUAAAGCCCUUUUGUUGGGAAAGAAAAGCAGCAGGUUAAUACCCCGCUGUUCUGACGGUACCAAAAGAAUAAGCACCGGCUAACUUCGUG
rnacentral:rRNA from 1 species